rnacentral:rRNA from 1 species
GGUAACUUAUUCUACUAAUCAAUAAUAAUGGAUCUAAGAAUCAUAAAUAAAUGUAUAAUAAAUAAUAAAAGUUAAAUAUAUAUCUUUUGUCGCCCCAACAAAAAAGUCUAAUCAACAGCAGUAAAAAUGAAACACAACAGCCAUUAAAAUUGACCAUUAAAGCUCUAUAGGGUCUUCUCGUCUUCCAAAAGAAUUUGAGCCUUUUAACUCAAAAGCUAAAUUUUAACUUAUUUAAUUGAGACAGUUAGCGCCUCGUCGAGCCCUUCAUUCCAGCCCCCUAUUAAAAGACUAAUGAUUAUGCUACCUUUGCACGGUCAAAAUACCGCGGCCGUUAAAUAAUUAUCACCGGGCAGGCUUGACCUCAUAUAAUAAAACAAGAGGAC